CGCGGGGUGGAGCAGUCUGGUAGCUCGUUGGGCUCAUAACCCAAAGGUCGGCCGUUCGAAUCGGCCCCCCGCUACCA
rnacentral:tRNA from 1 species